UGAGAUCAUUCUCGAACUGAUCUUCUCACAGUAGAUUCUUUUUCUUCAAAUAGAAUCUUAUCCUUGAGAAUCUUGAUCAACUUCUUGAUUUAGACUAUGAGAUCAACUCCUUGAUCUGCAACCUUUUCUCUAUGUUCCUCACUAAAGAUGGACGGCAUCUCUACUCUUGACAUGUGGAAGGUGGGACACCCAACCCUUGGGCGUGAGAAGGAGAAGAGGAAGGAGGGGAGGC
rnacentral:lncRNA from 1 species